UUCAUCCUUGGUAGAAAAUACCCCCUUUGAAUUUGCUAAAUCCUGGUGGCACAAGCUCCACUAAUGAACAAUAUCCUGUCAAUAGGGACACAGCUGUCUGACUUUGUGUUUAGUUCAGCAGUCCUGUUACCCAACAUGACCACUAGAGCAUAAUUCGAGGGAGAGAGGGAAGACGACACGCUGUUGAAGGGAGAGGAGGGAAGAGAUGCUGUUGAUUUGAACCUGCGCCGCCAGAACACGGGAUAAUAUAUCUAGCUGAGGAUCUACCUACCUGAACAAGGUGCUCCGUAUUGAACAGGCACCUGCCGUUCUUUGACCACCCAUCACCAUCACCACCAUGUCAAAGGACCAGUGUGACUCCGUAGCAGUGAGCGUCGAGUCCCUCUUAACCGACGCAGUUAAGAUGCAGUCCCAGUGUCGGGAGCGUAGUGAGCAGCUAGCUGUGGCCGCCGCCGCACUGCGGGAGGAGUCGGCGUGCUUGAGAGAACAGUGUCAAGCCACCCAGCUGGACAUGGCUCAGAUGAGAAGACAGCUAGAACAACUGCUGGACAGCAAGGCUCAGAUGGAGGCCAGUGAUCGAAUGCACCGCAAACUCAGCAAGACACUCUAAAGGGAAAGGAGGGGAAGGAGAGUGAGAAAAUAAGAACGGCUGGAUAACAAAGCUCCGACAGACCCGGGAAAACUUAGCAGUUAAAAUGUCUCCUGUUCUCUAACGCUAUCUAUCUUCCGUCUCUAA
ensembl:lncRNA